GGGUGCGAUCAUACCAGCACUAAUGCACCGGAUCCCAUCAGAACUCCGAAGUUAAGCGUGCUUGGGCGAGAGUAGUACUAGGAUGGGUGACCCCCUGGGAAGUGAUAUGAUCCUACAUA
rfam:Erythranthe guttata cultivar DTN x IM62 scaffold_350_contig_8, whole genome shotgun sequence.